CAUCAAGAAGCUAAAUUCAAGCAUUAACCUUUUAAGUUAAAGACUGGGAAUCUAAAUUUCCCCUUGAUGA
rnacentral:tRNA from 1 species